rnacentral:rRNA from 1 species
AUGAACGCUGGCGGCGUGCUUAACACAUGUAAGUCGAACGAAGCAUUUAAGACAGAUUACUUCGGUUUGAAGUCUUUUAUGACUGAGUGGCGGACGGGUGAGUAACGCGUGGGUAACCUGCCUCAUACAGGGGGAUAGCAGCUGGAAACGGCUGGUAAUACCGCAUAAGCGCACAGUACCACAUGGUACAGUGUGAAAAACUCCGGUGGUAUGAGAUGGACCCGCGUCUGAUUAGCUUGUUGGCGGGGUAACGGCCCACCAAGGCGACGAUCAGUAGCCGACCUGAGAGGGUGACCGGCCACAUUGGGACUGAGACACGGCCCAGACUCCUACGGGAGGCAGCAGUGGGGAAUAUUGCACAAUGGAGGAAACUCUGAUGCAGCGACGCCGCGUGAGUGAAGAAGUAGUUCGCUAUGUAAAGCUCUAUCAGCAGGGAAGAUAGUGACGGUACCUGACUAAGAAGCUCCGGCUAAAUACGUG